rnacentral:tRNA from 1 species
GGGGUUGUGGCUCAGUGGUAGAGUGCUUGCCUGGAACACAUGAGGCACUGGGUUUGAUCCUCAGCACCACA